rnacentral:rRNA from 1 species
GAUGAACGCUAGCGGCAGGCCUAACACAUGCAAGUCGAGGGGUAGAGGAAGCUUGCUUCCUUGAGACCGGCGCACGGGUGCGUAACGCGUAUGCAAUCUACCUUGUACUGAGGGAUAGCCCAGAGAAAUUUGGAUUAAUACCUCAUAGCAUUAUGAAAUCGCAUGGUUUUAUAAUUAAAGUUCCAACUGUAAAAGAUGAGCAUGCGUCCCAUUAGUUAGUUGGUAAGGUAACGGCUUACCAAGACAAUGAUGGGUAGGGGUCCUGAGAGGGAGAUCCCCCACACUGGUACUGAGACACGGACCAGACUCCUACGGGAGGCAGCAGUGAGGAAUAUUGGUCAAUGGACGCAAGUCUGAACCAGCCAUGCCGCGUGCAGGAUGAAGCAUCUAUGGUGUGUAAACUGCUUUUAUACGGGAAGAAACACUCCUACGUGUAGGAACUUGACGGUACCGUAAGAAUAAGGAUCGGCUAACUCCGUGCCAGCCGCCGCGGUAACAC